rnacentral:antisense_RNA from 1 species
AUUAUGCAUACUAGAUUUCUAGGAUUGGUCUCCCAACUUAAAAUUGCCAUAGUAACGGAGGUAAAGGAGAUUACGCUACCAAUAAAAACCAUAAAUCCAAUAAAGAGUUGUCCGGCUUUUGAAAUUCUCUCCCUAUUAAGACUGAAAUAGAAUAAAGGUGGAUAAACAAAUGCUAAAGGAACACAUAAUAGUCCUCCAGUAAUUGUUACAAAGCUUCCUAACUCAUCUUCAAAGUUAUAGGCUAAAAUCCCACAUAAUAAAACCAGAGAAUAAGAAAUUAAAGCCCUCAGAGCUGAGUGGUGGAACUUUGAUCUGGAAUCUAUGAGUCUGUCUUGGCUCAAGUCAACGAUCUGGGCCCCAUCGUCUUCUAUUUCCUCUAGCCUUUCCAAGCUUUCCUUCUUUACUAUUCUUGGAAUACUUUUAUUACUCUUAUCACCGCCAAUACCGCUACAAAUAUCAGUCUCCAAAUUCUCAAUAACUGCUCCUUUCUCUGAUUUAUUCUCUUUAUUAGCCUUCAUAUUUUCCAAUUUCAAACUGGAAGUUGAAUUCUCCACAGGAGAGUAAACCACUUUGUUCCCAAUGGAGGAAUCCCAGCUUUCAGAUAUUGACGCAAGCUGAAUAAUCUUUGAAGUAGAAAACAGAUUGUUCUGGAAUGAUGAUAUAUUCUCUGAAUUCUUCAAAGAGGAGGAAGAAAAAUUCAGCUGAGAAGCCCUUAAAAUAUUUGUACUCGUAGGAUUUAUCCGGAUAUUCUUUUUUGAAAGCUCACUUUCAUGCUGGUCAUCUGUGAUCAUGAAAAGUUCUUUCUUAAUCUCUUUUCCGGUUACUUUCUCUUUAUCAACUUUUGAAACAGGAUUUGUCUCAAUCUUCUCCAGAUUCUCCAUACUCUUUCUUCCUAUAAAGGGAAGUUUUAUCUGAAAUAUAUAUUUUUCUAUAAUCCCCAUAGAUGGGAAAAGCUGUAAUGGGACGGAAAACAUUAUUGCAGAUGAGUAUAUUAUUAGAGAAAUUAUUUUGGCUUUUGGAUUCAAUAUAUUCUCAGUUACUGGAGAGGUAGUAUCAUCACCAAAUGAAUAGUAAACAAAGCUUGCAAAGAAGUUUGAGAUUACCCCAAUCAAUAUCAUUGUAAAGGUUAAUAUUGCUGGAAAAGCUUGGAGUAAAUACUCCGGAGUUGAAUUCCUUAUUGGAAGUAUCAACGCUAUUCCUUCAUAAUUAAAUGCACUUGUUCCAAGUACUAACCCUGCUCCAUAUAUGCUACCAAGCCUUGAAAUUUCUGGUCUACCAAUCGGAUAUCUUUCCAGAUUUUGAUAACCAUAAUAGAUUAUUACUCCAAGUACUGAGAACACUGAAAUAUUUGCUAAUACACUGAGAAAUCCCAGAUUUUCAAUAUCUCUCAAAAAGAUAAAGGGUAAGUAAAUUACCAUCUGGAAACAAAUCAGCUUAAGUAUUGGAAUUUCUAACUGGCAACUUGAAAUGGAAUAUAUUAUUUCUUGAAUAUUAUGAGAUACAAAAAUCAUAUAAACUGUAGAAAAGCCUAGCUGAGAAAAGAAUAUUGAAGUAUCAACCAAAAUUAAUCCAGAUCUUCCCCAAACUCUCUCUGCUAACUCUCCUAAGGUUUCUUUGCCUUGACAACACUUAACCAAAAAUCUGAUUGAAAUGAUAGCCAAGAAACAAACCAAAGUUGAUAAUAUAUUUCCACUAAUAAUACCUGAAACUCUAAACGUUCCUGGCAAAAAGAUAAUCCCAGUCCCAAUAAAAGACUUGAUCAGUGUGACCAUUAUCCUCAAGCACGGCCUCACUCUUUUCAUUAUUAAUGGCUCUAAAAUUCCCAAGUUAUAAAAGAAUAUUGUACAAUUAUCUUUCUAUGAGCCAGUUACACUGUAUAUCAUAACUCC